rnacentral:tRNA from 1 species
GGUAUAGCUCAGUUGGUAGAGUGCUUGUCUCGGAAGCACAAGGCCCUGGGUUCAAUCCCCAGAACCA